rnacentral:lncRNA from 1 species
GCAAACACAGACAAACUAGACGUCUCUCUCUGACCGACUCUUUUUAUCAAGGUUCUCACUCUUUCUUUCUCGACUCUAUGUCAAACUCAUUAUUCCUAUUUUCUUAAUAGGACAGUCAAUCUCUGAUAACUCCAUAUCCGGUAAUUCUAUUCCCGGUAGUCGGAAAUAAAAUAAAAUCUCAACUCAAUUCAAUCAGCAUUUCUAACUCAACUCAUUUCUCAAAU